GAUGGUGGUGGCGUUGCAGGCCAGCGCCGUGAUCCGCUGGAUCUCGGGGCGGGCGUAGACCUGCUCGGGCAGUUCGUAGCCGUCCACCGCGUC
rnacentral:tRNA from 2 species